GGGGAGCUCCCCUGCACAUGCUCUGUCUCUUGCCUGCCGCUAUGCAAGGCGUGACUUUGCUCCUCCUUUGCCUUCUGACAUGAUUGUGAGGCCUCCCCAGCCAUGUGGAACUUUCCAUGGAUGGACCAUAAAGGCCUUGCAGAGUGCAUGGACUCCCCUGCCAUAUUUCUCCACAAUCUGCCUAAAGUUUUCAAGACAGAUUAGCCGAGAAGAGCCAUUAUGGGAUGAAAGAGGAGGGCACGCUGGGAGAAGAAUGAAAUGAAACAUUCACCCAUGCAAACGUUUCCUCCCUGGAUACUAUUUGGAUUUUAAUUUUUUUUUUUUUCAAAUAUAAGAUAAAAUACAAGAUGUUGGUGCUGUUUGGAGAUAGCACACAUCUGUACAGCAAGGAGACAAUUCUCCAAAGUGCAGCUCUCAGUGGGCUAUUUAUUUAAUUCGUAUUGGUUUUGGACCGCAGCCUGUAAUGAGGAAAGAUACGGAUGGAGGCAGGAGAUGGCGGUUGGAAGUCUGUACCUUUUUGAACAUGAAAGUACAAAAGGGUCGUGCAUGUAUUGAGGUUUUAGUGAAAAUUCAAUAACUUUAGCUGCAGACACUCUGCUCCAGGACACUAAUAAAGAUGGGAGAGCUAAUAAAGGACCCAAAUUCGAGCUUCUUAGAGAUGAAAGCUGGAGUGGUGCCAGGCUCAGCUGCCCUGAUGUUGAAGAAUGCCCUGGUAUGUUUUUGCACAUGGGCCAAUUGAGGAUUAGGUUGAUUUUAAGGUGUCUGUCAACAGCAUAUGAGCCCCAGGGACCUAUGAAUGCCAAACAGGCCCUACUGAAAUGGGGUUCAUUGAAGGGGGAUCAGGGAUGCUUGAAUUUCCUGCCAGCAAAUGCCCUGAUAGACAGGCAGGCCAGAGUUAAAAACAAGAAGGUCCUCCCCAAAGUGAGACAUCCCUGCAUUGGGUCUUUUGGUCUUCCUGAAGCACAGUGGCGUGAAGAUCUCAUCAAUGAGCUCGGGUGUGAGCGAAAGGGCCAAAAGCCUCUAAGAAAGAGGCAGCAGCUAGCAAAGAGCUGUAGCGUGGGAGGAAAGGGCUUGGCCUUGGCAGCAUGAAAGACUCCCUGAAUUAUCUAACUCCAUCCUCCUCUCCACCCAGUACUGUCACUUUCUAUGCUCACUUAUCUAAAACCACACCCUUGCAAGUGGCAGAUUCAGGGCUUGAACUCAGAUGGAAGGCAUGGAUGAACAGCAUGGUCUGAGCCCAGCGAAGCCAUCUGGGGUUCAUAUCCUCCAGCUCCCAGAGGAAAUCAGAGUUCUGGAAAGAGAAAUCUGGGAUGGGGCUCAACUCACUGACUUGCUCUGUUAUUAGGGUUGAACAUGUUUGCAGAGGGCUGUUUGAGAACCAUCUUGAAAUCAGCCCACAGCCUUCUCAGCUGCAGGCUGAUGCCCUCAGUUUAUACCAGGUUUGAUGCUUUGCUGACAAGUUUGGCCACAUUUGCAGAAGGCUGCCUGAGAAACAUCUGCUUGAGAAGCUCAGUUUUUUUCCUCUUUGGGCUAGAGAUUCUCAACCUGCACUAGCUUUGCCUGAGGUCUGAAUCCUAAUUAGUGGGCUAUAAUUAGCAUUGAUUAUUGCUACAGUGCCAGGCAUGGUACAUGGCACAUUACGUCUUGUGUUGCAAGUUGUCAUAACAACUCCAGGAGAUUGGUGCAUUACUGUCUCCAUUUUACAGAUGAAGAAAGUGGGGCUACCAGCUGUAUGAUUUGGUCCCAGGUCUGUGUAAAUUCUAAGCUCGUGCGGUUUAAUGCUGACUAGGGAAGCUGUACAUCGGGUCCCUUCUGGAAGGAUGUGGAGGAUGCACUUGGCAUUUUUGCCAGACUCAUUUCUGUGGGCUGAGAUACACAUGUGCAAGGUUAGACAGCUGGACCCCAGGAGGUGUCACUGCACCUAGCUCUUCCUCCCAGCCCGCUCUUGGAAUCUGCGGGCUCUACUCUGGGCCCUUUUUUCCUGCCCUAGUUGCCUUCCUCUUCUCUGUGAAGUCCUGGAGCCUCUCACCCAGCAGAGCUGACCUGCCUGUGAUAAAUACCAUUUAAUUACAGAACAAGCUUUUCUGCCAUUUCUCUUAGCACGGCUUCUAUUGCUGAAGAUUAAACUUCAUUCCCACACCACUGAAUUACCUUUUUAAACCUAUUAUUUCAAUGUGAUUAACUUCACUUCUUUCAUUUAGCUGUAAGCAAAAUCUUGUUUACAAGGCAAAAAAAGUCUUUGCUUAAUAUCGGCAAUAAUAAUACAAACGAACAUUGCAAGAAAAUAAUUUAUGUGAAAAACAGGAAAAAAUGGCAGUGAUACACGAGGUUCCUCUUUGAUUAAUAAAAAGGAGGAAAUAUUUAAAAACAAUUUAUCAAAGAAAUAUAUGCAGUUCAUACAUCAUGCAUUUGUAAAGAAUAUACUAAUAUUCAUUCCACAAAUAGCUGUGUGACCCUGAAUUCUAAUUCUUUUGUGUGUGACAAAAUUUGGGUUGUGGUUAAAAUCCAGAGCUGGGUUUGGUUAACAGAGUGCCAAGACUGGCCAGGCUACUGAUGGAGAAAGAGGCCUGUGUUCGCCAGACACCUGCCAUGUUCUCUCUUUUGAAUGUGGCCAAAGUGCAUCGGAGGUUUUUAGAAAAGGUUAUUACUGCAAGCCUGGGUGAGCAACCUGAAACCUAGGUUGGUUUUAAAGGCAGAUUUGCAUCAUGUCAGUUGUGCCUCUUCUUUUCAGGAUUGAAAUCCAAACCUCUAGAAACCGUAAUUUUAUUAAAAAUUGCAAAAGAGAGAAAUGCUUGGUGAUUUUUUGAAUUGUUUUUAUUGGAAGCAAACCCUGGCAGAAUGUUUCCCAAAAGUUGUCAAGGCCGGGUGGCUGUGGGGAAGUGGUGGCAUCUGUCACUGCAGUUAUGCAAAUCCUCUCCUGUUAGGGCCAGAGCUUGGAGGGGGGACACACGGCUGCGUGUUGGCAAAACAGACACCGUAUGCUACCACCCGCGUUUCUCCCUAAU
rnacentral:lncRNA from 1 species